rnacentral:rRNA from 1 species
GUUGUGAGGUUAAGCGACUAAGCGUACACGGGGGAUGCCCUGACAGGCAGAGGCGAUGAAGGAGGUGCUCAUCUGCGAUGAGCGUGCGUAAGGGGAUAUGAACCGUGAAAA